GCAAGUCGAGGGGUAACAGGGAUUGCUUGCAAUCCGCUGACGACCGGCGCACGGGUGCGUAACGCGUAUGCAACCUACCUUUUACUGGGGAUAGUCAAGAGAAAUUUUGAAUAAUACCCCAUACAAUCUGAUUCACUCCUGUGAAACAGAAGAAAAUUUCGAUGGUAAAAGAUGGGCAUGCGUCCUAUUAGUUUGUUGGUGAGGUAACGGCUCACCAAGACUGCGAUAGGUAGGGGUCCUGAGAGGGAGAUCCCCCACACUGGUACUGAGACACGGACCAGACUCCUACGGGAGGCAGCAGUGAGGAAUAUUGGACAAUGGAGGAAACUCUGAUCCAGCCAUGCCGCGUGCAGGAAGACGGCCCUAUGGGUUGUAAACUGCUUUUAUACAGGAAGAAACGUUAGUACGUGUACUAGCCUGACGGUACUGUAAGAAUAAGGAUCGGCUAACUCCGUGCCAGCAGCCGCGGUAAUACGGAGGAUCCAAGCGUUAUCCGGAAUCAUUGGGUUUAAAGGGUCCGCAGGCGGUCUAAUAAGUCAGAGGUGAAAUCCUAUCGCUCAACGAUAGAACUGCCUUUGAUACUGUUAGACUUGAGUUAUUGUGAAGUAGUUAGAAUGUGUAGUGUAGCGGUGAAAUGCAUAGAUAUUACACAGAAUACCGAUUGCGAAGGCAGAUUACUAACAAUACACUGACGCUCAGGGACGAAGGGGUGGGUAGCGAACAGGAUUAGAUACCCUGGUAGUCCACGCCGUAAGCGAU
rnacentral:rRNA from 1 species